rnacentral:rRNA from 1 species
CCUACGGGAGGCUGCAGUGGGGGAUAUUGCACAAUGGGGGGAACCCUGAUGCAGCGACGCCGCGUGGGUGAAGAAGCGCCUCGGCGCGUAAAGCCCUGUCAGCAGGGAAGAAAAUGACGGUACCUGAAGAAGAAGCCCAGGCUAACUACGUUACAGCAGCCGCGGGAAUACGUAGGGGGCAAGCGUUAUCCGGAUUUACUGGGGGUAAAGGGGGCGCAGACGGGGGUGCAAGCCAGGAGUUAAAGCCCGGGGCCCAACCCCGGGACGGCGCUUGAAACUGCGUGGCUGGAGUGCAGGAGGGGCAGGCGGAAUGCCUGGUGUAGCGGUGAAAUGCGUAGAUAUCAGGAGGAACACCGGUGGCGAAGGCGGCCUGCUGGACUGCAACUGACGUUGAGGCCCGAAAGCGUGGGGAGCAAACAGGAUUAGAUACCCUAGUAGUC